CUCACUAACUCCCUAAUACCCUCACGCCCAAUCUGCCUCAUAAAGAUUCUUCUCGCCUAGCAUUCCCAUCACUCCAUCACUCCAUCAGUCGAUGAAUCACGAAUCCAAUAUCUCCACCUCCAAGCACAGAUACAAGCGGUGAAGCGCACAAUUCGGCAAAACUCUCAAGUUGUGAGCUGUGGAUCUAGAUGGAGAAUUUUGGGAUGGAGGUUUUUGUUUGUGGGUUUGCUUGAUUUGGUCCACUGGAUGGUUGUUCUACAGGUGAUGGGCUGCGAGACAAUCAGCAGUGUAUUUGGGAGUGGUUUGCGAGAUGGUGAUUACUGAGAGAGAGAGAGAGAGAGAGAGAGAGAGAGAGUAUAUGUCUGAGUGAAUAGUUUGUGACUAGGUUUAGGGUUUGAGUGAAUCCAUGUGGGUCACUGAUUUUUAUGAGGUUUUAGAGAUAUGAGUGUGGUUUGAGUGAAUGUGGAUCGCUGGUAAAUUCGUGAGAUUUUCGUGACACAGUGAGAGUGUGGAUGUUUAAGUGAAUUGCGUCACUGGUUUUUGAAGCUUUCGUGAUGUGAGGAUGCGGUUUGAUUGAACGUGGGUUCGGUUUUCGUGACAUGAGAGUGUGGUUUGUGUGAAUUCAUGUGGGUCACUGAUUUGUGAGGUUGUCGUGAUCAUGUGAGAAUUAUGUGGAUUGAGUGAAUGGAUGUUCAUUGCUUUUUGAGGUUUUCGUGAUGCGAGAAUGUGGUUUGGAGCAUUCACAUGGGUCGCUGAUUGGUUCGGUUUUCGUAACGUGAGAGUGUGGUUUGCGUAAAUUCAUAAGGGUCGCUGAUUUGUGAGAUUUUCGCGAUUAUGUGAGAAUGUUAUUGCGUGAAUGUGAGUUCACUGAUUUUGUGAGUUUUUGAUCAGGUAUGAGAAAGAUGGCGAGGGAUCGCAGCUGGAGCAGGUGGACGUGUGCACAUGUCCCGCUCUCAGUCCCGCCCUAAACCCUAAACCCAGUACCCUCAAAUCCUACACAAAAACCCUAAACCGUAACCCGGGUGGUGAUUACUGAGAGAGUGGGUGUAUUUGAACCAUGGAAUGGGUUUUGUGGGAGAGAUGAUGUACUCUGCCGAUCAGGACUCAUCACUCUGAUUUGGAGCGUAUCUGCAUUUGGAAAUCAAUCUCAGGUAGGUUACAUUUGUUGUUUGGGUGCAGAUAUUUGCUGAGGGUUUUUUGUGCUGGCAUGGUUGUGGAGAAUGUGUUGAAAUGGGAAUUGAGCAAGGAGAAGGUGCAGCCCUUGCGGAAGGGACGCAGCGAUGGCACCAAGAAUGGUGGGCUCACUCUUUGCAGGCGGUAUGUUAUCCAGUGGCUUCAGCUCCUCCUGCAACGACACAUAAUAGCUAACGAUGAGCAUCCCCAAAGACGCAGUACAAGCAGAAAAAGCACGAACCUUUCAAGGCGAAUGCGAAUGCCGAGCAGGACGAGACCCGGCGGCUCACCUCGAGGAGUUGGAUUUCAUUGUUGAGCUGCUGCAGCUUACGGUUACGCGCACACAUCACAAUAGACGUGGGAGCGGACGGCGGCGGGGUUGCUGGCUGGCGGCCGGAGUCAUGGGCGGCGAGGGAUUCGCCCGCAAUACACUGCUCGCAGUCGUCGCCGACGAUAAAGCACUUGCACUGCUGCUGCGGUCAGAUUGUUGCAACCCUGCCGAAGACAUCGUCUUCACAACAACCGUAUAGAGACCGCCUCUACAUCAUGCCCCUCGCACACAACCCCCCCCCCCCCCCCCCCCCGGGGUUCUCGCACCUCAUCGAUUCUCGCAGCUCGCGAACUAACCCUAAACCCCCCCAAAUCCUCACAACCGACAUCCCUCCCUCUCGUCCUCCCCCUUGAAGCGAUCACACCAACCAAUCCGCCCACCCGAUCCGUAUACUCUAGAGCCCUAGAGCUCCUCCUUUCACCCCAACCAUACGCUCACUCCACCGAUCAUCCCCCACCUCUCACCAGACCAUAUAAUCGAGCUAACUCACACCGCGACCAGCUUCACCGGGAAGAACAAUCACAACAACGACAACAACACUGGCAAAGAUUCAUCGACGACCUCCAGCACUUCCACUCCAGUUGUGCUCUUACAACCACCACCGAGACCACGUCACCUGCUCGCUCCCAAACGUGCAUGCGACGGCAAAUCCUCUGCGCUCUGCAGUCGCGAAUGCAAGCUUCAACACGCUCCACCUGCCCAAUGACUGCCUCCGCACUUUCCUAAUUCCUGGGACUCGUCCAUAUGAUUCGUCAUGUUCAUAGGUCAAUCGAGGACUAGGAAUCAACAGGUGGUAGACAGCCUACGUACGCGCGUAGGUGGCCUACGGAUGGGCGCAGGGUUUGAUCGGAGAAAAUCGUUGCAAGGAACCAGCAGCUGUUGCUGCGGAACAAGUCUGGCUCCGAGAAGAGGAGGGUUUUGGUUGAGGAGGAUGGAGAUGGAUUUCGUUUGAUGAGAUGGGGUGGUAGGGUGAUGGCAGGUUUAGGGAGCGCUGCUGAAGGUUUAUGGAGAGGAUCUAGACAUGGUUUAGGGUUUUCUCCCCUACGGAGUGAGCUUCAGUUACAUUCGAAGCAGAAGUUGAGGAGGACCAGGAACUACUCUUUUAGGCCAGUGAAUUGGAAUGUUUAUUGAAACAACAAUGUAAGUGUCAUGCAAAGAGAACACAAUCUUGACGAAAGGAUCAAGAGCGAACUCGUUUUUUGAAAGCUAUCAUCAUUUCUCCCGCUGGAUGGUGUUUGUGAAUGAGGAGGCUUCCUCUCAUAGCGUCGUGGCGAAGCUGGAGCAGGUGUUGGAGCUGGCAUUGAGAGCUUGGCGCCGGAGGAAUGCUGGAACGUCGUCCUUAAACUUGGUUUUUGGGUGUAGUACCUGUUGACAGAUGUUUAUGGGAGCUUGUCAGUUAUGUAGGGAAGCGUUGGCCUGAUUGGAACCGAACAAUGGCCCUACAAUCACCUCAAGGCAUGAGAAGUGCACUCCACCCUUGAAGGAGGUUUGGAUCCUGAGCAUCAUUUGCCGCGUGUAGGUGGCAGUUCUGAGGUUUUACUUGGGGAGGACGCGCUGAAGUUGCUCACUAGCAGGGCAUUGUCUUCUGUGUGUGCACCUCAAAUGAAACUAGCUCCUCAGCUAGCAAGAAGAAUUACUAAACACGCAUUGCUCGCACAAAUUUAAAGUCAGUUGUAAACUACUUUCCGCGCCGCGUCUCCCACAUACUGCGACAGUCCAUCAAUUCCAUGAAUUUUUCGCUGUAUUCUGGAUCCGGUGUGGUCAGUUGCCUAUUUCUCUUUGUGAAUGUACAUUCCUCCUUCCACGACGUGGCUUACAUUUAUUCAGAAAAUAUUGUAACUUA